ACUACCCUCCGUCAUGCCAACGAGAGGGCACGCCUCGGCCCAGCCGAAAAUCAAACCGAGCACGCGGCCGGUAGACGACCCACGCCAGCACCGUCGAACGCCGCCA
ncrna:unclassified sequences RT-19 RNA